ACACCGGCAGCUCAAGUGGUAGCCGCUUUUAUUGGGCCUAAAGCGUCCGUAGCCGGUCUGAUAAGUCUCUGGUGAAAUCCCACAGCUUAACUGUGGGAAUUGCUGGAGAUACUAUCAUGACUCGAGGUCGGGAGAGGCUGGAGGUACUCCAGGGUAGGGGUGAAAUCCUGUAAUCCUGGGAGGACCACCUGUGGCGAAGGCGUCCAGCUGGAACGAACCUGACGGUGAGGGACGAAAGCCAGGGGCGCGAACCGGAUUAGAUACCCGGGUAGUCCUGGCCGUAAACGAUGUGGACUUGGUGUUGGGAUGGCCUCGAGCUGCCCCAGUGCCGAAGGGAAGCUGUUAAGUCCACCGCCUGGGAAGUACGGUCGCAAGACUGAAACUUAAAUGAAUUGGCGGGG
rnacentral:rRNA from 1 species